GGGGAAUUGUUCGCAAUGGGCGCAAGCCUGACGACGCAACGCCGCGUGGGGGAUGAAGGUCUUCGGAUUGUAAACCCCUGUUGGGUGGGACGAACACUUCCAUGGUGAACAGCCAUGGAGACUGACGGUACCACCUGAGGAAGCCCCGGCUAACCCUGUGCCAGCAGCCGCGGUAAUACAGAGGGGGCAAGCGUUGUUCGGAAUUACUGGGCGUAAAGAGCUCGUAGGCGGUUUGGCAAGUCGGGUGUGAAAACUCCGGGCUCAACUCGGAGACGCCACUCGAUACUGCUAUGACUCGAGUCCGGUAGGGGAGUGCGGAAUUCCUGGUGUAGCGGUGAAAUGCGCAGAUAUCAGGAGGAACACCGGUGGCGAAGGCGGCACUCUGGGCCGGAACUGACGCUGAGGAGCGAAAGCGUGGGGAGCGAA
rnacentral:rRNA from 1 species